rfam:Myotis brandtii contig222491, whole genome shotgun sequence.
GGCGGUUCUCAGGUGAUGCACCCCAGAAUCGGGUUCCCUCCUCUCUGGUUCCUGGUGUGUCAUCUGAGAACCACA